rnacentral:rRNA from 1 species
AAGAUUUUAAAAGUCGAACAGACUUAAAAUUUAAACUACUGCACCUAAAUUUAUAUCUUAAUCCAACAUCGAGGUCGCAAUCUUUUUUAUCAAUAUGAACUCUCCAAAAAAAUUACG